GCUUUGCGACUUAACAUGAAUAAAAAUGGCGAAUGACUAGGCAGUACAAGUGCGAUAAAUUAGUCCGGCUAGACAGCCAACUGACAAAUUUGACUGCCUACGACAACAACAUUGAGUUCAAUACAAGUGAUAUAAAGGUGACCGUAACUUAAUUACUCUAGAUUAACUGCUGGAGUUGCAGCAAAAUGCAAUACAGAGUCGCGCCAGAAUCCAUACUGACUGCUGGAGGUGCCCCUCGCGGACGGGAGAGACUAGUAUAAAAGGAGCACCUAGUGUGCAAGAAUAGAGAACACAUCUCACCCACCCACGCCGCUCACUCUCUCACUCCUCUCCACACGGCAACAACAGAUAAAUCCCCUAGGUUCGCCGGUGAGCGCGGCCGGCGAGAAUCCAACCGGGGCGCGAACCGGCGAUUGUGAGCACCACAUCGAGGCCGGCUCUGCCACUCGAUCCGCAUCCUCGUCCAUGAAGAACUGGUAACCUGAAUCAAAAGGAACCCAACUUCAGAAACUAGCUGCAGCGUAGACAUCAAGCAAGGGUACCACAUCGCAGCGUAGACAUAGUCGCCUGGCUACCGGAUCCAUUCUGGGCUCUGUUUGGGGUGAAGGCGAUGCUUAAUGACAGUCGUGGUGUCCUAGGCAAAGACGAUGCUUAAUGGCCAGCGUAGACAUAGUCGCCUGGCUCUUCUAAGACACCACGACUGUCAUUAAGCAUCAUCUUCACUUCAAACAGAGCCGAGGUUGAGCAGCAGGACAUCCUCCACGCAUGUAAGCUCCCAAUACUUCAUAGAGACAUAAGAUUUUUUGUGGAUGGAUGCAGGGGGAGACAGAUUUUCAUCGCCUGUUUUUGACUUUUUUUACGGUUGUUCUUGGUCUCUAUGGCUCCACUAGGUUUGGAGAAGGAAGAAAGGCAGCAUUAGUAGUGUGUGAGACAUGGUGGUGGGGCUUUGACCUUUCUUUCUUUUUUGAUCCGGGUUUUGACCUCUCCCAUGUUGCGUUUUUAUAUACCAUUCUAGUUUCUUCUUUUAAUUUCCCAAAAAAUAACUUUUUUUUUUUUAGAAAAGGAGGAUGACCCCCGGCCUCUGCAUCUGGGAGAUGCAUACGGCCAUUUUAUUGAUUAUUCUCGAGGACCUUACAAAGUAGUACAACAAUAUGCCUGAAUCCGCCAUCUUGGCAACAUCUGCCACUACUCCUAUCCAUAUGAUGAAGGGGGUGCAAGCUGGACCAAAUACCCAGACCUCUCACCUAAGCCUAACAUCUAAAGCCGGAGGCCCCGACCGAGCCACAUACCGGGUUCGGGGCACAAUCCGGUCUGACGCACUCACAUGUGUCGUCGCCGCCAUCUUCCACUAGUCCAUCUUCAGAGCAGAUUGAGGUGCCAACCUUGGUAGGAUCCUCCGCCAUCGACGCCAUCAAGGCACCAAACGACGACCACCAUCUACGCUAGUCCAUCUCCAAGCAGAAGGAGCACUACCACAGGACGAAGACCGGCGGAGAAUAGGUGAAACGCUGCACACAAUGCCGCCGCCAAACACCUCACACGCACCGCAAAGCACCCACCAUGCUUCCGAGGACCCCAAAAAAUAACUAGUUGGCACGUAGUCGCUACAUUAUAAUAUAAAUUUAAGCCAUCGACCAUCUGCUCUGAUUUACGGAGUACUUGCUUUCCGGUUAUAGUAUUUAUCAUACUCCCUCCAUUCUAAAAAUACAGUGCAUAUUUUGUUUUCUAAAAGCCAAGAAAAAAUUAUCAACAUCGACAAUACAAAUUAGUAUCAUUAAAUUCAUUAUGAAGUGUACUUUAUAUUUUAUUUAUUCAGUACUUUAGAUAUUAAUAUGCUAAAAACUUGGUCAAACAUAGAAACAUUUGACUUUGAAAAAACAAAAUAUGCACUACAUUGUUGAAGGGGGGAGUACUGUUCUCAGUUGAUGUCAUCAUCUGCUGUGUUUCGUAUGCCCUUUAUUUUGAUCCACAAUAAUGCAGGUAUUUAGCAGACUGGCACUGACACAUUCCUCUGUUCUGUGAAGCAAACAGAGUUAAGAUUAUAAUCAGCAACGAUCCUUUGUUCUUCUAUCCAGAAAAAGCUGAUAUCAGCUUUCGGAAACCAUGAAGCUAGCUUAUGAAUUAAUCUUCCUGGGGUUCUUACAGUCUGUUGCAUAUCAGAUGUUUGAUCAAGAGGUCCAGGCUCUGUUUGAGGUGAAGAUGCUGCUUAAUGACAGUCGUGGUGUCCUAGAAGACUGGAAUCGCCAUCUAGAUACUGCAUGUAGUACUAUUGCUAUUGUCAUGUGUGAUCCUGACGGCAACGUGGUCGAAAUGUAAGUGAAGCCUAACCUAAUCAUCUCUUGUGUAACUGCACUAAACCAGUCCCUGCCAAAGGCAGUUACAGUAUGUUUACAUUCUAUCCUUUGAACAGAGGAAAUAAUCUCGCACAUUUUGAGUAAAGUAUACCCUUUGUGUCUGAUACCAACUUUUCCUUGAUACACAGAGGAUCUCAACAUCCUCCCUUGUAGUGUCAGUUAAUUUAGUUGCUCGGCGAGGUGACAACAUCAAUACCUGAUUGACAGACGUAGUAUAUGUUUUGGCCAAACGAAGUUGUUCGUUUCAACUGGUCUGAGCUUUUCUACUUUUAUGUUCAUGUUCAAAUUUCAAUCAUACUUUGCCUAGUUUGUCCACAAAAUCCAGUGAGCCUUGUAAGCCUAGUUUGUGUUUUAUAGUUUUUUGUCUUUUUGUUGAUAGAGUUUGUGCCUGUAUUUUUUUUCUCGGAAAGGGCUCGUGCUUGUUUUGUUUUUUAAUAACAAAAUUAAAAAGGUUGUCCCUGUUAGUCAUACUCAUAUCCAAUAAUCAUGCGUGAUGAAUUCUAGGUUGAUGUGAAGCGUGUAAUUUGCACUGAUUUAUUAGUUAAUUAACUUUCAAAAAUCCAACUGAAAAAUAUUUUUUAAAAAUCUCUGGUGCAUUUGUCAUCCUCUGGUCCCUAAGGCCCAACGCUCCUCAGACAUGCAUUUUCAUCUUCCAGUCAACGAAUCCUGCUCUUUCUCUUGGAUUCUCAACUCACUUUUUCUACCACCACGGUCUAAGAAGCUGGAAUCAUUGAGGGUACUCCUAAUGCUUGGCUCUCACAGUAGCAUGGUAUCAUUGGCAAAAUGCCAAGGUGGCAUUGUAUUUAAAGAAAAGAGAGAGAGGGGAGUUGUAUGAUAGUGGAGAUAUGGCUCUUGGCUGGUUUUCCUAUGCAGUGUAAUAUACUUUUGUGUGACAUAUCUCCGUAUUUUUCA